UGCUUGCACCUGAUUGACGAUGGAUCACCAGUGAGUGGCGGACGGGUGAGUAACACGUAGGUAACCUGCCCCGGAGCGGGGGAUAACAUUUGGAAACAGAUGCUAAUACCGCAUAACAACAAAAGCCACAUGGCUUUUGUUUGAAAGAUGGCUUUGGCUAUCACUCUGGGAUGGACCUGCGGUGCAUUAGCUAGUUGGUAAGGUAACGGCUUACCAAGGCGAUGAUGCAUAGCCGAGUUGAGAGACUGAUCGGCCACAAUGGAACUGAGACACGGUCCAUACUCCUACGGGAGGCAGCAGUAGGGAAUCUUCCACAAUGGGCGCAAGCCUGAUGGAGCAACACCGCGUGAGUGAAGAAGGGUUUCGGCUCGUAAAGCUCUGUUGUUGGAGAAGAACGUGCGUGAGAGUAACUGUUCACGCAGUGACGGUAUCCAACCAGAAAGUCACGGCUAACUACGUGCCAGCAGCCGCGGUAAUACGUAGGUGGCAAGCGUUAUCCGGAUUUAUUGGGCGUAAAGCGAGCGCAGGCGGUUGCUUAGGUCUGAUGUGAAAGCCUUCGGCUUAACCGAAGAAGUGCAUCGGAAACCGGGCGACUUGAGUGCAGAAGAGGACAGUGGAACUCCAUGUGUAGCGGUGGAAUGCGUAGAUAUAUGGAAGAACACCAGUGGCGAAGGCGGCUGUCUGGUCUGCAACUGACGCUGAGGCUCGAAAGCAUGGGUAGCGAACAGGAUUAGAUACCCUGGUAGUCCAUGCCGUAAACGAUGAGUGCUAGGUGUUGGAGGGUUUCCGCCCUUCAGUGCCGGAGCUAACGCAUUAAGCACUCCGCCUGGGGAGUACGACCGCAAGGUUGAAACUCAAAGGAAUUGACGGGGGCCCGCACAAGCGGUGGAGCAUGUGGUUUAAUUCGAAGCUACGCGAAGAACCUUACCAGGUCUUGACAUCUUGCGCUAACCUUAGAGAUAAGGCGUUCCCUUCGGGGACGCAAUGACAGGUGGUGCAUGGUCGUCGUCAGCUCGUGUCGUGAGAUGUUGGGUUAAGUCCCGCAACGAGCGCAACCCUUGUUACUAGUUGCCAGCAUUAAGUUGGGCACUCUAGUGAGACUGCCGGUGACAAACCGGAGGAAGGUGGGGACGACGUCAGAUCAUCAUGCCCCUUAUGACCUGGGCUACACACGUGCUACAAUGGACGGUACAACGAGUCGCAAGCUCGCGAGAGUAAGCUAAUCUCUUAAAGCCGUUCUCAGUUCGGACUGUAGGCUGCAACUCGCCUACACGAAGUCGGAAUCGCUAGUAAUCGCGGAUCAGCAUGCCGCGGUGAAUACGUUCCCGGGCCUUGUACACACCGCCCGUCACACCAUGGGAGUUUGUAACGCCCAAAGUC
rnacentral:rRNA from 2 species